rnacentral:rRNA from 1 species
UACGUAGGUGGCAAGCGUUAUCCGGAAUUAUUGGGCGUAAAGCGCGCGUAGGCGGUUUCUUAAGUCUGAUGUGAAAGCCCACGGCUCAACCGUGGAGGGUCAUUGGAAACUGGGGGACUUGAGUGCAGAAGAGGAAAGUGGAAUUCCAUGUGUAGCGGUGAAAUGCGCAGAGAUAUGGAGGAACACCAGUGGCGAAGGCGACUCUCUGGGCUGUUACUGACGCUGAGGAGCGAAAGCAUGGGGAGCGAACAGG